rnacentral:rRNA from 4 species
GCAUGUGCGCGAGUCAUUGGGACUCUGUUAAACCUAAAGGCGCAAUGAAAGUAAAGGUCCGCCUCGCGCGGACCGAGGGAGGAUGGGUCCGUCCCCGGACGGGCCCCGCACUCCCGGGGCGUCUCGUCCUCAUCGCGAGGAGAGGCGCACCCAGAGCGUACACGCUGGGACCCGAAAGAUGGUGAACUAUGCCUGGUCAGGACGAAGUCAGGGGAAACCCUGAUGGAGGUCCGUAGCGAUUCUGACGUGCAAAUCGAUCGUCGGAACUGGGUAUAGG